AUUGAACGCUGGCGGCAGGCCUAACACAUGCAAGUCGAGCGAGCGGCGGACGGGUGUGUAAUGUCUGGGAAACUGCCUGAUGGAGGGGGAUAACUACUGGAAACGGUAGCUAAUACCCCAUACCAUCAGAUGUGCCCAGAUGGGAUUAGCUCGUAGGUGGGGUAACGGCUCACCUAGGCGACGAUCCCUAGCUGGUCUGAGCGGAUGACCAGCCACACUGGAACUGAGACACGGUCCAGACUCCGACGGGAGGCAGCAGUGGGGAAUAUUGCACAAUGGGCGCAAGCCUGAUGCAGCCAUGCCGCGUGUGUGAAGAAGGCCUUCGGGUUGUAAAGCAAUUUCAGCGGGGAGGCGUUACCCGCAGAAGAAGCACCGGCUAACUCCGUGCCAGCAGCCGCGGUAAUAC
rnacentral:rRNA from 1 species